CGUGUGGACAUCAAUUUAUAGACACAUUUGGCUUCAUUACGAAACAAACUUACGUAUCGCAGCCACACAUUCAUUUUGAAGCUUACAACUAGCAUCUUCUUAUUUUUUUCUUAGAAUCCCAAAACAAACACAGUAAUUCACUCCUCCCUCUCCGGAUCUCUCUCUCUCUCUAAGUGUAAGCUCUUCCACCACAAAGUUUUAAGGGUGUAAAAAUGAGUUUGUGGUAUAUCAUUGUUGCACUCGUCUUCUUUGCAUUCAUACUCAUUGCAAAGAACACGAGGAAGACAAAGAAGAAUUUACCUCCUGGACCACCGAGACUUCCCAUAAUAGGCAACUUGCACCAAUUGGGAUCGCAACCUCAUCGUUCAAUGUUCAAACUGUCUCAAAAAUAUGGCUCCCUAAUGUCCCUAAAGUUUGGAAGCGUAUCUAGUGUUGUGGCAUCAACACCAGAGACUGUAAUGGACGUCUUGAAAACAUUCGAUGUAGAUUGUUGCUCACGACCUUAUAUGACGUACCCUGCAAGAAUCACAUACAAUCUAAACGAUCUCGUCUUUUCUCCUUACAAUAAAUAUUGGAGGGAAGUACGGAAGAUGACAGUUGUUGAACUCUACACAGCAAAAAGGGUACAAUCGUUUCGACAUGUAAGAGAGGAAGAAGUUUCAUCCUUUGUGGAUUUCAUCAAGCAGUCUGCUUCAUUGGAGAACCCAGUUAACUUCAACCAGAAGUUACUAAAACUGUCGGGAAGUGUGAUAUGUAGGGUUGCAUUUGGGAUCAAUCUUAAAGGAAGUAAACUUGAGAAAACCUAUGAACAAGUCAUUGUAGAAGCAUUUCAGGUGUUGGGGAGUUUUGCAGCAGCAGAUUACUUCCCGGUAAUUGGGAAAGUUAUCGAUAGGAUCACGGGGUUACAUGGAAAAUGUGAGAAGGUUUUUGAGGCAAUAGAUUCGUUUUUCGAUCAAGCUAUAAAGCAUCACCUAGAAGAUGAGAGUAUUAAGGAUGAUAUCGUUGAGUUGCUCCUCAAGAUGGAAAGGGGAGAGGUUGGACUUGGAGAGUAUCAACUUACUCGAAACCACACUAAAGGAAUUCUUCUGAACAUUCUUACUGCUGGAAUAGACACUUCUGCUCAAACUGUGACAUGGGUGAUGACACAUUUGAUUGCAAACCCUAGAGUUAUGAAGAAAGUGCAAGCAGAGAUAAGAGAAGUGAUCCAAAACAAAGACCACAUUACAGAAGAUGAUAUAGAACGGCUUGAGUAUCUCAAAAUGGUGAUUAAAGAAUCAUUUAGGAUAACACCGCUUGUGCCACUUCUAGUUCCAAGAGAAGCUUCAAAAGAUGUAAAAAUCGCAGGUUAUGACAUUCCAAAGAAAACAUGGAUCCAUGUCAACAUAUGGGCUGUUCAUAUGAAUCCAAGAGUCUGGAAAGAUCCGGAAGCAUUCAUCCCCGAGAGGUUCAUGGAUAAUGAGAUUGACUAUAGAGGUCUAAACUUUGAGUUGUUGCCAUUUGGUAGUGGAAGAAGAAUGUGCCCUGGUAUGGGUAUGGGACUAGCUUUGGUACACCUGACACUUAUCAACCUUCUUUACCGAUUCGAUUGGAACCUUCCUGAAGGAAUGAAAGCUGAAGAUGUUGAUCUUGAAGAAUCAUAUGGGCUUGUUUGUCCUAAGAAAGUUCCUCUUGAGCUUAUUCCUGUCCUUACCCAGUGGACUUAACUUCACUUUGCUGUAUGAGAAGGGUUAUGUUCUGAAAUGUGCACAAAGGAAAUAAAUCUCUGCCAAAACUUGUGUAUUUUAUAAUUUUGUACGUAUAAGUUCUUUGUUUAAACGAUUUCUUAAAGAUGUGUCUCCCCAACUGAUAUAAAUAAGUAAGAUUUCAUAUUUUAAAAUGUAAACGUUCUGAAGUAAUGUGAAGAUCUUAUACCAUUACCAUCCACUCAUCAAGAAGAUGAUUGUUCAAGUAAACAUAACUUUUUUUUUUGUAACUGUACAUAAAACUUUAGAGGCUAGAGCUAAGCACUCACAGGUGUAUUUUUCUUUUGAUUUUCUGUGAUUCUUGCUUGCUUCCUUGUAUCUCUUAACUCUUAUUAUAAAUUAGUGGAAACCCUUUUUCAAAAAGUAUGUGGGUAUUUUUCCGGUUAGUGUUUUUAAUUAUUUAUGGUAAUAAGUGACACGAUUAUGACUAGUCAAAUAAAACCGAUUAGAUUUCUUCAUAUUUGAGAAGAAUUGAUUCUCUAAUCUAGAUUUAUACGAGAACUGCUGAUCAUGUAAUAACCACUAGUCCAGUUCCAUCUGGUUAACAUAAUGAACUGUUUCCUUUUUUUCAUAAAUUGAUAUAUAAGCUGGAUGUGUGUGUUUGCCUACCAUGUGCGUUAGCCAUAUUUCGUCCAUAUAUUAUUAUUAAACUAGAGGUCUUCCGGCGCUACGCGCCGGGUUCGGAUAUUUUAUUUUAUCCAAUUUUCAAAAUCUUGUGUUUUGGUAUUUAGUUGUUAGGAGUGAUGUAGUUGAGUGUUGUUGAAAGGUUUUGCAUCUUAAAAAGUGUUUAAAUUGGUAUAGUCUUUACGGGAAGUUAGUGUUUUUAAGUGUUUAUAUUUUGGAGUUGAUAUAUGAGCGCAUGUUUCGUAUCUCAGUGUAAUAUCUGGUGUUGUAUCCAUGCGGUUUUCUUUAUUUUCAAUUUCGUUUUACUAAGUUAUGGUAAAGGGGUUGAGCUCUUAAACUGAGCAUUUUGAAAGAACUGAUAAAUUAAAUUUAAAAUAAAUAUUCUACGUCACUGGAAAUGAAUAUCUCAGUAACCAUCUUAGAUCCUCUCAGCGUUUUUUUGUGUACAUAUCAAUGGGAAGAUCAAUGAGGCAUUUAGAUUGUCGAACUUCUGUGAGGAAGAUAAGCAAUGCUGAUCGUGAUAAUCAUUCAUGCGUUCACUUCUUCAGUCUUCGAUAAUCGUAAUCAUUCAUGCAUUCACUGGAAAUUGAUUGUUAGUAAAUUUAAUUAUUUUAGAUCAACUGAGUUUUAAUGAUGAUUUUUGUUAGACCAUUCUAAAAUCACAUAUAAAAUUAUGAGAUUUGUUUUUUUUUUUAAUAAGAAACUUUACUUAAACAUUCUAAAAUGAUUAGAAGUCUCCUGAAAAUUAUAAUUUUAACUAUUCUCAAUAACAUUAGUUUUCAAAACGUUUUAUUAAAUAGUAGGUUUUUUUAUUUUUAAUGACAUUGGAUUUCAUACACAAUUUAUCAAAUAGUAAUUCUAUAACAUUCAUUUUUUUAAAAAAAAUUGUGCUUGUAUAACAAUAAAUUUGUCAUUUAAAACAAAUCAUCUUGACUAUUUUGCAUGCUUCAUUGCAUGGGAAGUAUAUAUAUAUAUUUUGUCAUGUUAUAGCAAUGUUUUUUUCGUAUUAUUUUAAAAAGUAUUUUAAUGGGAAAUGCAAAAUGGAAACAAAGUAAGCAAGGAAUACAAAUUGAAGAUCUAUUCGAAUCUUGAACGUGUACCAAAAAUCCAAAAUGAGAAAUUUAAAGGUUAUGAAGAACGUGAACUUGUAAACGCAAAGAACGUUUUGGUGUAUAGCAUGUUCUUUAAUCCAUGAGAUCAUUGAAUCCCGACAUCAUCUUGUAGAACUCGAUCAGCAAGAAGAAAUGAAAACAGUUGGAGCAGACCAUGGUAUCAGCUCCCUCUUGAGGAUGGCAGUUUAGAUGUGGCCACAUUUUCUGCAUUGAACUCACAUAGGUUUGUUUCAUGUGAAGAAAGGGGCGUGCCAUAGAACGCUGGAAAUUUGCCAUGCAAUCUUCCACCACUGAAAUACCUUUAUCAUCGGUGAGUUUGUUGAUGAUUUUCACUCCGUUCUCAGUCUCGCCGAUGGCCAUGAGGAGAACACCAUAAACGUACGUCCCUUGGAUGUGACCACCCUUUGAAGCUAUGUGGAUUUGCUCAAAUGGUGUUAUUUUAUAAUAGAGUUAUUCUAUUAUAGUAUAUAAUGCAUAAGAGAUUAUAGAGUUCUAUUGGAGAUGCACUUACUUAAUUGAAUGGUAUUAUAUUGCGACAAAAAAUGGGUUUAUUAAUAGGUUACAAAACUAUCACCAAAGACCAAUCUCUUUUGCUUGUUGUUGUAAUUUAGUUGUUGUAUGAACUCUGGGUAAUGGGCCGGUUUGGACCCACUAUCUAUUUUAAUUUUAGUAAUUGUUUCACAAAAAAGACCAAUCAUGCAAGCAUGGAUCUUGGUCCUUACUUAGACAAGAAUGAGUACGAAAUGAUAUUAGUUAUCUAACUUUUGGACAAAACUAUUUUUUAUGUUUUUUAUAGUUGUAUAUAAUUUAUAUUUUCCAUAUAAGAAGAAGAGAAGACGUUGUUAAUAUAAUCCAAAAAAUGAAGAACUGAAGCUCUGUUUUCCGUCAGUAAAAGGAAGAACUGAAGCUCUGUUUUUCUAAAAAAAUAUUUUUUUUUUAUCUGCAGGAACAACUUUGUUUUUCUUUUUUUUUUCAAUCCAAAUGUCGGUUGAGUUAUAAAACAAAACCAUAGACCACAUUCUUUAAACAACUGUUUUUUGAAAUGAAUAAAAUUCAACAUUCUUUUAAAAGAAAAAGGUAUAAAGAAUUUUCUAAUCGUGUUUCUUACACAUUCAAGCAAGCAAAACCAGUCUAAUGUCCGACGUCCUUGUUAAAUCUAUGAAUCAAAACGUUCACUUAAAAACCAAAAAGAGGAAAUACUAAU